rnacentral:rRNA from 1 species
UGGGGAAUAUUGCACAAUGGGGGAAACCCUGAUGCAGCGACGCCGCGUGAAGGAAGAAGUAUCUCGGUAUGUAAACUUCUAUCAGCAGGGAAGAAAAUGACGGUACCUGACUAAGAAGCCCCGGCUAACUACGUGCCAGCAGCCGCGGUAAUACGUAGGGGGCAAGCGUUAUCCGGAUUUACUGGGUGUAAAGGGAGCGUAGACGGAGCAGCAAGUCUGGAGUGAAAGCCCGGGGCUCAACCCCGGGACUGCUUUGGAAACUGUGGAUCUGGAGUGCCGGAGAGGUAAGCGGAAUUCCUAGUGUAGCGGUGAAAUGCGUAGAUAUUAGGAGGAACACCAGUGGCGAAGGCGGCUUACUGGACGGUAACUGACGUUGAGGCUCGAAAGCGUGGGGAGCAAACAGGAUUAGAUACCC